rnacentral:rRNA from 1 species
CCUACGGGCGGCAGCAGUGAGGAAUAUUGGUCAAUGGGCUUACGCCUGAACCAGCCAAGUCGCGUGAGGGAAGACUGCCCUAUGGGUUGUAAACCUCUUUUGUCAGGGAGCAACGCCGGCUACGUGUAGCCGGACUGAGAGUACCUGAAGAAAAAGCAUCGGCUAACUCCGUGCCAGCAGCCGCGGUAAUACGGGGGAUGCGAGCGUUAUCCGGAUUUAUUGGGUUUAAAGGGUGCGUAGGCGGAAUGCCAAGUCAGCGGUAAAAUCGCGGGGCUCAACCUCGCUCCGCCGUUGAAACUGGCGUGCUUGAGUGGGCGAGAAGUAUGCGGAAUGCGUGGUGUAGCGGUGAAAUGCAUAGAUAUCACGCAGAACUCCGAUUGCGAAGGCAGCAUACCGGCGCCCAACUGACGCUGAAGCACGAAAGCGUGGGUAUCGAACAGGAUUAGAUACCCUGGUAGUC